CGGACACGACUGCGGAUGUGUUCUCACCAAGAGGCAGAGGGUCUGACUCCUGCUCCAGUUUAAAGCAGGCUCCUGCUGAUCUCACUGGGACAGUUUCCUGCUCUGUGAUGGACAGAGAAACCUCCAUGAUGAGCACUGCUGCUGACGAGCUGCUGGGGGCCACUUUCUCCAGGAUAAAGAUUUUGAACCACUAUAAAGAUCAGCUUACAGACCUGACUAAGGAGCUCAAGAAACUAAAGCCAAAAUAUAACAGGACAGGAUGUAUUAAGCUUUUUUCAAGGAGAUCAUCUUCCCCAUCGUCUUGUCCUAAAAUCACUGAAUCACUGGAGAAUCUCAAAAAGGUAGAAGGUGAAAUCAAUGAAGCCCAGCAAAAAAACGAGGAACUGUUUGAGAAGCUGAAGAUUUCUGCAAACAGCCGUGAGCACGUCAUGGAAGAAAUUGUGUCAGCAAUAGCAAAAAGACUUGAUUUCAAGAACCAAAUUAACUUCAGAUCAGCUUCAGCUCGAAGACUCAUCCAUGAAAUGUCUGGAUGUGAGUUUCAGCACAUCCUCGAAGGAAAAGUGGUGGUUGGAUCUGUACAUGGUGGAAAGGAGUUGCCACUUCCUGAAGUCAUUCAAAUGUUGAGAGAAUUAAUCUGGAAGAAUCAUGUGACCGAAGCCAGCGAAUCACUGAGAGCUGCAGCUGACAAGAUCAAAGAGUUCAUCUCAGACCUUAAGCUGGAAUUCAACUACAUUGUAGACAAGGUGAUCAAGCUAGCUCAACAAGCAGGUGAAGAACAGUCUGCCUCUCAAACAACGACUGGUGGUGACAACGAGGAAGAAAGUAAUCAACCAAGUGAGGAGAGUGAUGUUGAUGACACAAAAAAAGAUGAAGACUAUGUGCCCCCAGCUGACUGGCGUGAUAGUGAUGAUGGUCACGAGCAGUUGUCUAAGCAUUUCACUGCAUAUCGUACUAUGUAUGACUGUGUACGUGACAAAUAAAAUUUGAAUUUGA
ensembl:lncRNA